rnacentral:rRNA from 1 species
AGUGAACGCUGGCGGUAGGCCUAACACAUGCAAGUCGAACGGCAGCACAGUAAGAGCUUGCUCUUACGGGUGGCGAGUGGCGGACGGGUGAGGAAUACAUCGGAAUCUACUUUUUCGUGGGGGAUAACGUAGGGAAACUUACGCUAAUACCGCAUACGACCUACGGGUGAAAGCAGGGGAUCUUCGGACCUUGCGCGAUUGAAUGAGCCGAUGUCGGAUUAGCUAGUUGGCGGGGUAAAGGCCCACCAAGGCGACGAUCCGUAGCUGGUCUGAGAGGAUGGGCGGCAGCAGUGGCACUUAGACAAGGUCCAGACUCCGACGGGAGGCGACAGUGGGGAAUGUUGGACAAGGGGAGAGAGCUGGAACCAGCUUUACCGGGGAGAUGAAGAAGGCCUUCGGAUUGCAAAGCCCGUUGGCUGGUAAAGAAGAGUAGCCGGUUGAUACCCCGCUGUUCGGACGGGAGCUAAGGAAUCAGAACCGCCUAACUUCGUG